CACGUAGGGGGCGAGCGUUGUCCGGAUUUAUUGGGCGUAAAGAGCUCGUAGGCGGCUCAGUAAGUCGGGUGUGAAAACUCCAGGCUCAACCUGGAGACGCCACCUGAUACUGCUGUGGCUAGAGUCCGGUAGGGGAGCGUAGAAUUCCUGGUGUAGCGGUGAAAUGCGCAGAUAUCAGGAGGAAUACCAGCGGCGAAGGCGGCGCUCUGGGCCGGUACUGACGCUGAGGAGCGAAAGCGUGGGUAGCAAACAGG
rnacentral:rRNA from 1 species